GGAUUUGCCGCAUACCUAAGGGCUUUUGCAUAUGACUGAAAAUCAUGGUGUCCCCGGUUCGAAUCCGGGUCCCGCCA
rnacentral:tRNA from 1 species